CGUGGCGUGCCGGCGGCCGGGAGACAAAUGGGCCGGCGAGGGCUUUUCCUGCGCAGGUACGUCGCCAGCGGCGGACGACUCGUCGCUCCUUUCGUUUAUUUCUGCAGUGCAUUACGCAUCGCGCUGCAGUGACGACGCUCUUGAUGGGCAUUGAGCCAUCGAGGCAGGUUGGCCGGCCAUCGACUGACAUGCGGCUGCAGGGUGAGUCGCGAUACCCGCCAGGCCUCCAGGAGUCCAGGUAACAAUAACAUGCGGCAGCUGGGCCCCUUCUCCGUGCCAGCCGCCGGUGGCGUCGCGCGCGCUCAGCCUCUCAGGCGGUCAUGGUGACCACCCCUAUCGGACGGCACGGCGCACGCUGCCACCGCCUCGCACUGCCCGAGUGCCCGUCCAUGUCAUGGUCUCGCGCAAAUGCGGCGCGUUGGUUGUUUCCUUGGUUUAUUCGAGUCUGAUAGCCGUGAUUGAUCAGGCAGGGGAAGAGGUCUCCUGAACCGGGCAAGCAUCACCAGGCAGGCUCACCAUUCAUUCUUCCUGCGGCUCUAGGACGAGUUUCAGUGUCAGAGAUGCCAUUUCAAGCUUCAAGCCAUUCAAACAGAGCAUCUUGUGACUGCCAGUUCUUAUACACCUAUAUGGUGUCUAGCUUACCAAUGGUCUGGACUCUGGAAUAGCAAGGCAGCAGAAUCCACUUGUCAUUGCAAUCAUACAAAAUAGAAUUUAUACUGAUGAAUGUUCAAGAGAUGCCAUUUCAAGCUUCAGGCUAUUCAAACAGAGCAUUUUGUGAGUGCCAGUUCUUAUACACCUAUAUGGUGUCUAGCUCACCAGUGGUCUGGAAUAGCAAGGCAGCAGAAUCCACUUGUCGCAAUCAUACAAAAAAGAAGCUUAAUUACAAUAUAGUGAGAAGAUCUUUUUGGCUCUUCGGUUCCAACAUAACUAAAGAGUUGAGCUCUCCGACAGUGCUUUCAUGAAAGACCCACCAGUUCUGCAUCGAGGGUGCUGUACACUUCCAAUGGUGAAACUGCGCAUACACAGGGUGCUGAUAUUUGGGGUUACGGGAACUUAUGUUCGUAAAGAUCAACUGACGGUGAGCAAAAUCUAAAGGAACAUGACUCAAAAUAUUCAUUUAUUGUCGGCAUAUCACCGGCCAAAAUUUCAGAACCAAUCACACAAUGUCUAGGUGCAAUAUUUCUAUGGCAUUAUUCCAAGUGGCAAAUUGACAAAUCUAUUACACAGCAAUAUCAGCAGGAUAUAAAAAUAAAUUGUAUGCUGAAUACAGACCCAGUUAUAGUGUCCAGCUCGAAAUAAAAAGCACAAAGCCAAAAUAACAGCUGAGUCAUGUCAUUUUGGAACACACUGAACUAGAGUGACCCUUAUCUAAAUCAACUGAAACAAUGGAAGAAAACAAAGCCACUCAAGUGUACCUUUUUGGUUUUGGUAUCCCUCAAAGCAUUUGUCAGGAGUUUCUCCAGUUUCUCUAGUUCAUUGGGAUCUGACUUGUCAGCAUUGUUUCGUUCUGACCUGCAAGUUAGGUACGUUUCAACUUUUGCCACUUGAGGAACAAACAAUUAAAGUAGAGCGAAUGGCAAGAACUUAGGGUUACCAUGUUGAGAUCUGCCUAAGCUUGGACUGUAAAUCUGAAGCAGCAGCAUCCUGGUUCUGGACCAAAAAAUACUGUAGUCAGCUAUGCUUAUCAGAACACUUGCAUUGUAGCUCUUUUAGGCUCUAUUACAUGAACUGCGCAGGCAGUUCAGUACAAAAGAACAUAGUGAUGGCAAAUGUAGCAAUAGACUAAUGGAUUCCAUAAUAUCAUCAUGGCUUGCUUCCAAAUAAUAUAUUGUAUGUUAUGCAUCUAAAAAGCCAUAUUGAGAUCUUUA